rnacentral:ribozyme from 1 species
GGGCUUGCGCGACGAGGAUGUCCGCCACUUCUUCGCCUCGGGGAAGGUCUGUGGCGACGACCUCGGCGUCAUCGACGGCAGACACACAGGUGUGGUGAGGGUGUCGUUCGGGGGCCUCUCGACCUUGCAGGACGUCCAGAGA